rnacentral:rRNA from 1 species
ACGAACGCUGGCGGCGUGCUUAACACAUGCACGUCGAACGCUGAAGCUUGGUGCUUGCACUGGGUGGAUGAGUGGCGAACGGGUGAGUAAUACGUGAGUAACCUGCCCUUGACUCUGGGAUAAGCCUGGGAAACUGGGUCUAAUACUGGAUACGACAUGUCACCGCAUGGUGGUGUGUGGAAAGGGUUUUACUGGUUUUGGAUGGGCUCACGGCCUAUCAGCUUGUUGGUGGGGUAAUGGCUCACCAAGGCGACGACGGGUAGCCGGCCUGAGAGGGUGACCGGCCACACGGGGACUGGGACACGGCCCAGACUCCUACGGGAGGCAGCGGUGGGGAAUAUUGCACAAUGGGCGGAAGCCUGAUGCAGCGACGCCGCGUGAGGGAUGACGGCCUUCGGGUUGUAAACCUCUUUCAGCACGGAAGAAGCGAAAGUGACGGUACGUGCAGAAGAAGCGCCGGCUAACUACGU